UGGGGAAUAUUGGACAAUGGGCGGAAGCCUGAUCCAGCCAUGCCGCGUGUGUGAAGAAGGCCUUUUGGUUGUAAAGCACUUUAAGCGAGGAGGAGGCCACUUGGAUUAAUACUCUAGGAUAGUGGACGUUACUCGCAGAAUAAGCACCGGCUAACUCUGUGCCAGCAGCCGCGGUAAUACAGAGGGUGCGAGCGUUAAUCGGAUUUACUGGGCGUAAAGCGUGCGUAGGCGGCUUCUUAAGUCGGAUGUGAAAUCCCUGAGCUUAACUUAGGAAUUGCAUUCGAUACUGGGAAGCUAGAGUAUGGGGGAGGAUGGUAGAAUUCCAGGUGUAGCGGUGAAAUGCGUAGAGAUCUGGAGGAAUACCGAUGGCGAAGGCAGCCAUCUGGCCUAAUACUGACGCUGAGGUACGAAAGCAUGGGGAGCAAACAGG
rnacentral:rRNA from 1 species